UACAGAGGUCCCGAGCGUUGUUCGGAUUCACUGGGCGUAAAGGGUGCGUAGGUGGCAGGGUAAGUCGGAUGUGAAAGCUCGGAGCUCAACUCCGAAAUGGCAUUGGAAACUACCCAGCUCGAGGGUUGGAGGGGGGACUGGAAUGCUUGGUGUAGCAGUGAAAUGCGUAGAUAUCAAGCGGAACACCAGUGGCGAAGGCGGCGAUCUGGACGAUGACUGACGCUGAGACGCGAAAGCGUGGGGAGCAAACAGG
rnacentral:rRNA from 1 species